rnacentral:snRNA from 1 species
GAAUGUGAGGGUGAUCUGUCACCCCACUGAUCGCCAGGGUUGAUUUGGCUGAUUUGGGUGGCUAGCACUUCCCUCCCCUCACCACUCCAUGUGCGUCCCUCCCCAAGGCUAUGCACUUGUUGGGAGAGGGUGGCCUUCCCUGAAUAGAGACAAACCCAGUCUUCAGUCAAGGGUAUACAAGUAGCUGCGCUCCCCUGCUAGAACCUCCAAACAAGUUUUCAAGAAGUGACAGUUCCUAAAACAUAUUUAAGAGAAAGAAUAGAGGGCUGAGGAGAUAGCAUACUGGUUCUGCUAAAGACUCUCCAGUCUGAGGCUCUGAGG